rnacentral:rRNA from 1 species
GACGUAGGGCGCGAGCGUUGUCCGGAUUUAUUGGGCGUAAAGAGCUCGUAGGCGGCUUGUCGCGUCGAAUGUGAAAACUUGGGGCUCAACUCCAAGCUUGCAUUCGAUACGGGCAGGCUAGAGUUCGGUAGGGGAGACUGGAAUUCCUGGUGUAGCGGUGAAAUGCGCAGAUAUCAGGAGGAACACCGGUGGCGAAGGCGGGUCUCUGGGCCGAUACUGACGCUGAGGAGCGAAAGCGUGGGGAGCAAACAGG